rnacentral:lncRNA from 1 species
ACUGUAACUGUGUCUUGUUGACUGAGAUUUUGUAUCUGUGUCAUUAUGUUGGCUGAGAAGCUUUAACUGUUUCAGUAUGUUGGCUGAGAAGCUGUAACUGUGUCAUGUUGGCUGUAACUGUGUCAUGUUGGCUGUAACUGUGUCAUGUUGGCUGUAACUGUGUCAUGUUGGCUAUAACUGUCUUAUGUUGGCUGUCAUGUUGGCUGUAACUGUGUCAUGUUGGCUAUAACUGUCUUUAUGUUGGCUGAGAAGCUGUAACUGUGUCAUGUUGGCUGUAACUGUGUCAUGUUGGCUGUAACUGUCUUUAUGUUGGCUGAGAAGCUGUUACUGUGUCAUGUUGGCUGUAACUGUGUCAUGUUGGCUGUAACUGUCUUUAUGUUGGCCGAGAGGCUGUAACUGUGUCAUGUUGGCUGUAACUGUCUUUAUGUUGGCCGAGAGACUGUAACUGUAACUGUGUCAGUAUGUUGACUGAGAGGCUGUAACUGAGUCAGUAUGUUGGCUGAGAGGCUGUAAAUGUGUCAUGUUGGCUGUAGCUGUGUCAUGUUGGCUGUAACUGUCUUUAUGUUGGCCGAGAGGCUGUAACUGUAACUGUGUCUUGUUGACUGAGAUUUUGUAUCUGUGUCAUUAUGUUGGCUGAGAAGCUUUAACUGUUUCAGUAUGUUGGCUGAGAAGCUGUAACUGUGUCAUGUUGGCUGUAGCUGUGUCAUGUUGGCUGUAACUGUCUUUAUGUUGGCCGAGAGGCUGUAACUGUAACUGUGUCAGUAUGUUGACUGAGAGGCUGUAAUUGUGUCAUGUUGGCUGUAACUGUGAUCAUGUUGGCUGAGAUGUUGUAACUGUGUCAUGUUGGCCGAGAGGCUGUAACUGUGUCAUGUUGGCUGAGAGGCUGUAACUGUCAUCAUGUUGGCUGAGAUGUUGUAACUAUCAUCAUGUUGCCUGAGAGACUGUAACUGUCAUUAUGUUGACUGAGAUUUUGUAACUGUCUUUAUGUUGGCUGAGAGACUGUAACUGUCAUUAUGUUGACUGAGGGGUUGUAACUGUCAUUAUGUUGGCUGAGAGACUGUAACUGUCAUUACAUUGGCUUAGGGGUUGUAACUGUCAUUAUGUUGGCUGAGAGACCGAAACUGUCAUUAUGUUUGCUGAGGGGUUGUAACUGUCAUUAUGUUGGCUGAGAGACUGUAAAUGUCAUUAUGUUGGCUGAGGGGUUGUAACUGUCAUUAUGUUGGCUGAGAGACUGUAACUGUCAUUAUGUUGGCUGAGGGGUUGUAACUGUCAUUAUAUUGGCUGAGAGACUGUAACUAUCAUCAUAUUGGCUGAGAGGCUGUAACUGUCAUUAUGUUGGCUGAGGGGUUGUAACUGUCAUCAUGUUGGCUGAGAGACUGUAACUGUCAUUAUGCUGGCUGAGAGGUUGUAACUGUCAUCAUGUUGGCUGAGAGGUUGUAACUGUCAUCAUGUUGGCUGAGAGACUGUAACUGUCAUUAUGUUGGCUGAGAGACUGUAACUGUCAUUAUGUUGGCUGAGAGACUGUAACUGUCAUGUUGGCUGAGAGGCUGUAACUGUCAUGUUGGCUGAGGGGUUGUAACUGUCAUUAUGUUGGCUGAGAGACUGUAACUGUCAUUAUGUUGGCUGAGAGGCUGUAACUGUCAUUAUGUUGGCUGAGGGGUUGUAACUGUCAUUAUGUUGGCUGAGAUGUUGUAACUGUCAUUAUGUUGGCUGAGAUGUUGUAACUGCCAUGUUGGCUGAGAGACUGUAACUGUCAUUAUGUUGGCUGAGAGGCUGUAACUGUCAUUAUGUUGGCUGAGAUGUUGUAACUGUCAAUAUGUUGGCUGAGAGGUUGUAACUGUUAUUGUGGUGGCUGAGAGGCUGUAACUGGCUACUGGUUAGUUUGUGAGUGUACAGCUACUCCAAAGUGUUUAGGUGGCAGCAUUAUGUUCAGUUCUAAGAGAGGUUGAAAUAUGCAGUCGAUGUGAGACAAUGUGAUACAACUCACUUCAAAGUUUGAUUUGACAAUCUGAGUCUUACAGAAAUGUUCACUUAAAUAGGCUGAACAAACUUUCAUCAAAAUAUAUGACGAUUCAGACUGAGUUGUAACUUGCCGUCAGGUGGUGAAAGACAGUGAUGCAGUGAACUGCUAGUUAUUUCUUACUGGUAUUGCAUUAACAGUUUAUGUACAUUGUAAAUGUAAGAUUUAUGUUGUAAUGGCAGCGUGUAUUAAACAGAAAACCUUCCUGUCUUUUCAUAUCUGAAAAUGAGAAGUUGACUAUACUGCUAUAUAGUAUUGGAACUACACAAAGAAUGUUGAUGUUUAGGUUAUUCCAAUGUUUGUGUUUUAGUUGGGAGAAGUAAAAGCAUGCUUGAUAUCAGUUUGACUAUGGGAUAGUUGAGAGUGAUAGUAGGCUAGCUUUUACUGUGAUAUUACCUACACAGAUAUGGUACUGUAGGUAGAUGCCAUGUUUAACAUCUUCCUCUGUUAAACAGUAUCACAUUUUCUGUUUUAGAAACAUAUAUAAAAGAGAAUAAAAGAUAUGUGGAAUUUGA